CCAGGACUACAUAUCGCCGACCCUUUCAUUUUUAAUAGUACAUGCGGAAGCCGUUAUAAAAAUCCCCAGACAAUAAAGCAAUGGGAUAUACAAGUAGGACUAGAAACUUGAACCCGAAAACCAACACCCUUAUGUACAUAUACAACAACUCAGUCAUUCAUGUACAUAUACAAGCCAUGCUAAAAAGGUUGUUUUCUACUCAAACAGAUUCUACAGCAAAGGUCAUCAAAUAGGAGUGAAGUCUCAAUCCUCAUCAAGAUCUUACUCUAGAUCAUCAUCGGGGUUCUCCUCCAGAUACUCCUCUUCGGGUUCUUUCUUCUUAGGUUCUUCAUCAGGGUCCUGAAAUGUUGUCCCACAACCGGGAUGAGAUUACGUCUCAGCAAGUUCUACCCCCUAAGACCCGAUUAGUAAACUAAUACACCUUAGGGUUGCCUAUGCACAACAUGAGUCAGAAGAUUUACCUUGGCCUCAGAUUCCACCUGCAUAUUAGCACAUAUCAAAUAUAUAUCCAAGCAAUCACAUCAUUAAUCGAAGCAUCGAUCAAAUCGACCUAGUCGAUUACACGCCAACAAGACCACUCACGGUUAUUUCCACUCAAUCAAUCAAUCCACAACAUCAAACCAAAGUAAUGAUUAAUCACAUUAAAUUACACUCAGAUCGAAUCAUCGAUCAAUCGACCUAGUCGAUUACAAGUCAGUCGAAUCAUUUCUAGGUCAUUCAUUCCAUCUCAUAUAACCUCCAAUAGUACACUUAGUCACAGAGCUCCAUUAAUACUCUUGGGUGUCGUUUUCGCACAGUGAUUUUUUUCAUCACCGAACCACGCCCGUCAUAGAUCAUAGACAGUUUACGUGCGUUCUUUAAGGCGCCGUUUUCGCGCAGUGAUGUCCUUCAUCACCGAACCACGCCUGUCACAAAUCAUAGGCAGUCUACGUGCAUUCUUUAAGACACCGUUUUCGCACAGUGAUAUUCUUAAUCACCGAACCACACUUGCCACAAGUCAUAGACAGUCUAUGUGCAUUCUUUAAGGCGUCGUUUUCGCACAAUGAUAUUCCUCAUCACCGAACCACGCUUAUCUAUACUUCGUACUUGAUCGGUCUCAACCAAUAGAAUUCUUAGUUCACUCUCACGAUUCUUUUCACUUUACAACUCAUCAAAGCAUUAUAAAGGUUAGAGAACCAAACUCGGCCAUCUACCGAUCAAUCAUUUAAUUCCACUCAAUUUCAAUCAAUUAAGGAAUAAUUACCUAAAUUGCACAAUCAAUUAAAUUAAACACAAUGUGGAGUUCAAAUAAAUAAACGGACUGCACCACGAUGAGCAGCUCAAAAUUCCAAUCACCGACCAUCCCGGUUGAAUUUCUGGAAAAUAAAUAAUUAAAUAAUUAAUUUCGAAAAUAAAAUAAAUAAAUACAAUAAAUUCAAUUUAGCACAAUAUAAAGCUCAAUUAAAUAAACGGACUGCACCACGAUCAUCAGCAUAAAAUCCCGGUCACUGGCCAUCCCAGUUGAAUUUUCGGAAAAUAAAUAAUUAAAUAAUUAAUUCCGAAAAUUAAUAUUUAAUUCCUAAAAAUUCCAUUUAGGCCUGAAUUGCCUAAUUAACACCCGAUAAGGGUCGGGAAAAUCCCAAGAAGCAUCAAAUAAAUACUAUAGGCAAUUCUCUAUCUAAGUACACUAACCACCUAACUAAUAUGCAAUACAAUCAACUAAUAAUCGCUAAUCCAUUCUAAUCUAACCACCUAAUUACAUUUAAUUAACACUAAUCAACAUUUAAGUAUAAUUAGCAAACUAAGAAGGCAUUAGUGAGCAAAACUCACUAGAUUAAAGAUCCGCUUGGAUCAAAUCGACGAGCACGCGACAAAGCUCGAUCCUCUCCAAGGUGAGUCCACCAACCGGGGCCCGGAACGGCCCAAAAUCGGCCACGCAAGCUCGCAGCUGGGCUGGAGAUUCUGUUCCCGCGCUGUUGAUCUUGCUGAUUUGAUGAAGAGGGGCCUUCAAGCAGCUGAAUGGAGCGGCCAAGAGAUCGAGGAACGGUGGCUGAUGGGCUUGGCGAGCGGAGCUGCUGCGGCUCAGUUCUAACGAAACGGGGGUGACGCUGGCGGAGAGGUGCCGCUGGUUUCGGUGGCUUCGCUGGGUUGAUGAAGGAACGAACGCGCGGCUUCGUGGCUGGGUCAACAUAUUCACUGAAGAAGCAACUUCGGUUUCACUAGCUGACCGAAGAUGGCUGCGCCGCGGACGUGUGGCCAAGGGUUGCAGGGGCUGUUCGGUGGAGGUGGCCGCAAGAGAGAAAUGAAGAAGCUGCUUCGUCCGUUGAACCAGCAAAAAGCAGAGAAAAUGAAGAAAAGGGAAGACAGCUAGGGGAUGUCGGCCGAAUGAGGGGAUAAAC
rnacentral:lncRNA from 1 species